GAUGAAGAACGUAGCAAAAUGCGAUACUUGGUGUGAAUUGCAGAAUCCCGUGAACCAUCGAGUCUUUGAACGCAAGUUGCGCCCGAAGCCUUUUGGCCGAGGGCACGUCUGCCUGGGCGUCACGCAUCGCGUCGCGCCCCACAAAUUCUCCGUCAGGGGAGCUUGUGUUUCGGGGGCGGAUACUGGUCUCCCGUGCUCAUGGCGCGGUUGGCCGAAAUAGGAGUCCCUUCGAUGGACGCACGAACUAGUGGUGGUCGUAAAAACCCUCGUCUUUUGUUUCGUGCCGUUAGUCGCGAAGGAAGCUCUUCAAAAACCCCAACGCGUCGUCUCUUGACGGCGCUUCGACCGCGACCCCAGGUCAGGCGGGACUACCCGCUGAGUUUAAGCAUAUCAAUAAGCGGAGGA
rnacentral:misc_RNA from 1 species